rnacentral:rRNA from 1 species
ACACGACUACAUUAGAUACCCCGGUAGUCCCAGCUGUAAACUAUGUGCCGUUAGGUGUGUCAGUGACCACGUGUCACUGAGGUGCCGAAGGGAAACCGUGAAACGCACCGCCUGGGGAGUACGGUCGCAAGGCUGAAACUUAAAGGAAUUGGCGGGGGAGCCACCCACAACGGGUUGGAGCCUGCGGUUUAAUCGGACUCAACGCCGGGAAUCUCACCGGAUAAGACAGCUGAAUGAUAGUCGGGAUGAAGACUCUACUUGACUAGCUG